rnacentral:lncRNA from 10 species
CAAUGACUCAGCGGCCUAGGUAUUAGUAGGUCCAAUUUACAGAAAAGGACACUGAGGCUCAAAGCGAUCACUUAGCAAUCACCCAAGGGCAGCAGACACAUCUUUAGUGAGAAGCAGGUCUGAGGUGGAGCCAGAGAUUCUGCAUUUCGAAUAAGCUCCUAGGUGAGGCUGAGGCUGCUCCCCUGAAGACCACACUGGAGCUGAAAUAUGCACGUGGUCUUCACCAGGCCUCUCUGGGUACACCGGCAUCAAGGAGGCAGCCCAGAUAGAGCUGUCGAGGUUAUCAUUUACAGCAGAUUUCUCCUUUCGCUGACUGGCUUUGAUCAGGGUUCCAAUGGAUGGCUAGCAAGAGCUAAUUACAAUCCCAA